AAGGUCCUUGAGCUGCACACAUAUCUGUAGAAUUCAUCGAUACUGAUGAUCUCAGAUUCGAAGGUCCUUGAGCUGCACACAUAUCUAACCUCUACAGUAUCUAUUAGGAUCAACCUUGAAUCCUUCUUCUCACGGUAGAUCUUUUUCCUCCAAAUAAGAUCUUUAUCUCUUUGAACAUUGAUCAGCAAUUAUUUUUGACUACAACUUCAACCUCUGAACUGCAGCUUUCUUCUCCUUGUUUCUUAUUGUAAAAGGAACCCUUCUCUAGUCUUGGCAUGUGGAAGAUGCACACCUAACCUUUGGAUAUGAGAAAGAGAAAAGGAAGAGAGGAUGGGGCAUGGAGAGGAGAGAAGAAGAGUUUGAAUUCAUAAAAUUUAAUUAAUUAAAACUCUAAGAGACUCUCUUUAUAUAGACCCUUCUUUGAUCCAAAUCAAGAACCAAUUAACUUAAAAAGACUAGUCCUUUUCUCAUGAGAAUUUCUAUCUUUUUAAUCUGAUUAUUUUUCAUUAAAAUCAGACUUAAUUAAUAAGAUCUCAAUUUCUUUUGGCAAGC
rnacentral:lncRNA from 1 species